UCCUAUCCUCUCGCGAUGCAUUCACACUCCACACUCUCCUUCAUAGGAGCUUCUUCCUAUCCUCUCAGAACCCAUCCUCUCAGAUCCUAUCCUCUCAGAGCUUCUUCCUCUCUCCGUCCACGUUCUCUCCAUCACAGGAGCUUCUUUCACCGCUGCCGCUCUCUCCAUCACUCCGUCCACGAUCUCAUCACUGACAGCAACUGCCAUUCGCUGGUCAUCCUCAUCCACCGGUUCAGGUAUGGCUUCAGGAAUCGAAACCAUUACACACUAACAAACCAACAAACCCUAGCAACAACAUUAUCAAUCUUACUCUCACUUUGUAAAGUUGUCUGUCUCUUCGAACCCUAGCUUUUCUUUCAAGACGACUUAUGUAUUUAUUUAUUUAUUCACUCCCUGUUUCAAUUUAAUUUUGAAUGAUUUUUGUCUUCAGAAAGUGCAGCGAUUAGAAUCUUCUUUGGUUAGAUUUCAUUGUGGUGUAUAAACGGUAGAUGAUGAAAUUUGUACUUUUGUGGUGGUUCUGCUUCAUUGUGCUUCAAAAUCUCCAUCUUUUCCCGUUUACUGUUUGUGAUCGAUAUAUCAUUCCUUCAAAUAAAUACUUGUUAGUUGUAAUGUGUGCACCUGCAUGGCUUCUACUUAUUUUGAUGGUGUUAACUUUCAUGUUUAUGUUGGAGAUAAUGUUAUAAUAUAUUCACGUCUAUCAUGUGUUCGACGCAAUGUCUCUGAGGGCCUUAUCAUGCUCCUUUCUU